rnacentral:rRNA from 1 species
ACGGGAGGCAGCAGUGGGGGAUAUUGCACAAUGGGGGAAACCCUGAUGCAGCAAUGCCGCGUGAGGGAAGACGGUCUUCGGAUUGUAAACCUAAGUAGUCAGGGACGAUAAUGACGGUACCUGAAAAGUAAGCUCCGGCUAACUACGUGCCAGCGGCCGCGGUAAUACGUAGGGAGCAAGCGUUGUCCGGAUUUACUGGGUGCAAAGGGUGCGUAGGCGGGUUUGCAAGUCAGGCGUGAAAUACCGGGGCUUAACUCCGGGGCUGCGCUUGAAACUGUAGAUCUUGAGUGAAGUAGAGGCAGGCGGAAUUCCCAGUGUAGCGGUGAAAUGCGUAGAUAUUGGGAGGAACACCAGUGGCGAAGGCGGCCUGCUGGGCUUUAACUGACGCUGAGGCACGAAAGCAUGGGGAGCAAACAGGAUUAGAUACCCUGGUA